CAGUCGCCGCGGUAAUACGGAGGGUGCAAGCGUUAAUCGGAAUUACUGGGCGUAAAGCGCACGCAGGCGGUCUGACAAGUCAGAUGUGAAAUCCCCGGGCUUAACCUGGGAACUGCAUUUGAAACUGUCAGGCUGGAGUCUUGUAGAGGGGGGUGGAAUUCCAGGUGUAGCGGUGAAAUGCGUAGAGAUCUGGAGGAAUACCGGUGGCGAAGGCGGCCCCCUGGACAAAGACUGACGCUCAGGUGCGAAAGCGUGGGGAGCAAACAGGAUUAGAUACCCCGGUAGUCCCUGUAUCUUUACC
rnacentral:rRNA from 1 species